rnacentral:rRNA from 1 species
UUCCGUAGGUGAACCUGAACCUGCGGAGGGAUCAUUACCGAGUUUACAACUCCCAAACCCCUGUGAACAUACCACUUGUUGCCUCGGCGGAUCAGCCCGCUCCCGGUAAAACGGGACGGCCCGCCAGAGGACCCCUAAACUCUGUUUCUAUAUGUAACUUCUGAGUAAAACCAUAAAUAAAUCAAAACUUUCAACAACGGAUCUCUUGGUUCUGGCAUCGAUGAAGAACGCAGCAAAAUGCGAUAAGUAAUGUGAAUUGCAGAAUUCAGUGAAUCAUCGAAUCUUUGAACGCACAUUGCGCCCGCCAGUAUUCUGGCGGGCAUGCCUGUUCGAGCGUCAUUUCAACCCUCAAGCACAGCUUGGUGUUGGGACUCGCGUUAAUUCGCGUUCCUCAAAUUGAUUGGCGGUCACGUCGAGCUUCCAUAGCGUAGUAGUAAAACCCUCGUUACUGGUAAUCGUCGCGGCCACGCCGUUAAACCCCAACUUCUGAAUG